rnacentral:lncRNA from 1 species
CACAACUCACUGCAGCCUUGACCUCCCAGGCUCAAGAGAUCCUCCUGCCUCAGUCUCCUGAGUAGCUGGGACUACAUGUACGUGCCUCAAUGCCCAGGACUCGAGAAGACAUCUGGCCUCUUCUGUCUCCUGCAUUGACACCGCCUGUGUUCAGGAUUUCAUCACCACCCACCAGAACGAUUUCAAAAACCUCAAUGCAGCUCCUAUUCUCUGGAGUCUCCUGACUACAGUUCAUUCUUCACACUCUGAACAAGAGCAACCUUUCCACCACGCAGCUCCAGUAAUGCUCCCCUGCACAGAAACCCUCAGGGACUCCCCACUGCACAGAAGGGAAUCAAGCCUUUCCAAGAAGAAGCAUUCAAAUCACAUCAACUAUGUCCAAUGAGCAACACUGAUAUGACUCCCAGGAUAUAUACUGAGGAGUUUUAUAUAUAUUUAUUCAUUUAGAUACAUAUUAUUAUUACUAUUAUUAUUUUUAUUGUUAUUUUUGAGACAGAGUCUCGCUUUGUCG